GUCUAUAUUUUUCUCAUCCUUUAUAGUACAUAUAUACACUAUAAAUUGACACUCCUUAAUAAAACAAAUUUAUAAGAAUGGGGAUGAUGGGGGAGAUUUUGAUGCAUCCAGAUGAAUUAUAUCCAUUGAUGAAGCUCAUGUUAUCGGCUAAACGUGUCAAGAAGAAGACGUCUGUGUGGCUGUUGCAGCCACACUGGGCCUUCUGCUACGAUACUCUCCGGAAGGUGUCUCGUAGCUUUGCCCUCGUAAUUCAACAACUUCCUAGCGACCUUCGUGACGUGGUUUGUGUUUACUAUUUGGUUCUUAGAGCACUUGACACUGUUGAGGAUGAUACCAGCUUAGCCAUUGAGGUUAGAGUACCUAUCUUGAGAAAUUUUUAUUGCAACUUCUAUGAUCCUCAAUGGCAUUUUUCAUGUGGUACAAAGGCCUUCAAAGUUCUCAUGGACCAAUUCCAUCAUGUUUCCACUGCUUUCCUAGAACUUGAUACAAAUUAUCAGGUGGUGAUUAAGGAAAUUACCAAGAAGAUGGGUGAAGGAAUGGCCAAGUUUUUAUGCAAGGAGGUAGAAACAAUGGAUGAUUAUAAUGAAUAUAGUUAUUAUGCAUCUGGACUAUGUGGAUUGGGAUUGUCAAACUUUUUUUAUAUUUCUGGAAGAGAAGAUUUAGCACCAGAAUCCAUCUCGAUUUCCGUGGGUUUAUUUCUUCAGAAAAUAAGCAUCAUUAGAGAUUAUCUAGAGGACAUAAAUGAAGUACCAAAAUGUCGUAUGUUUUGGCCUCGUCAAAUUUGGAGUAAAUAUGUUAACAAACUCGAGGACUUUAAGUACGAGGAGAACUCGGUCAAGGCAGUACAAUGUCUCAACGAAAUGGUCACUAAUGCUUUAUUAUAUGUAGAGGAUUGUCUGACAUGCAUGUCUAAUUUACGAGAUCCUGCUAUCUUUCAGUUCUGUGCAAUUCCGCAGAUCAUAAAUAUGGGGAAUUUGACGAUGUACUACAACAACGUUGAAAUUUUCAAAGGUGUUGUUGAAAUGAGACGAGGCCUCUGUGCAAAGAUUAUUGAUCAGACGAGGACGAUGGCUGAUGUCUACGGAGCUUUCUUUGACUUUUGUUGUAUAAUGGAAUCUAAGGUUGAUCGUGAUGAUCCAAAUGCAACGAGUACUUUGAAGAGGCUUGAAGCAAUUUUGAAAACUUGCAGAGACUCGGGAACCUUAAAUCAAAGGUUUUUUUUAUGUUUCCUUGUACCCUCCUCAGAACGCACUUGUGGAAUUACACGUUGUUGUUCUUUUAUGGAAAUUCUUGACAAUAUCAGUUGUGACUUUAUUUUACCACCAGGAAAUCUUACACAUUCAGCCAUCAGCCUAAUUAUAAUAUUCCAGUUUUGAUUAUCUUAUUUUUCAUCAUGCUGGCUAUUCUUUUAUCAACAAGAACACCUUAAGGGACCAUAGGUUUGAUGCAGAAGAAAAACAGAGGCCUAGUCAAACAAGUUAAACCAAUGUUGUAACAUUUUAAAAAAUUAUUUAUGUAUACAUAAUAUCCUUUGAACAGUAUAAAAAUAUUAUAUA